UAAUGAUAUUUUUUUUUCCAGUUCCUGACAUGUCAUCCCCUCUGGGGGGAGGGGAAGAUUAUAAAUAACCGCAAGACACACAAAAAACUUGCAUAAGAAGAUCUGGAAGCUGGCGAGACAGGGCAAAGGCCACCACCAUUGUAAGAAGUAUCUCCACAAAGCCACUGCCCUUGAAGGAGCUGUUGACGGCCACCAAACCAACCUACGCGACCAAACCAACCACCUCGGACAAAGAAGAGCCUGCUUAGAUCUUCUGAACCAAGAUUUGCACUCAGCAAAAACUGAUAUAUGAAAAAGAUGAAUCACAGCUUGCAAGAGACUGUAGAAAAGUUUAAGAUGGUGAUGGAGGAGAUGCAGGGGAAAGUGUCAGCCAUGAGGGCGAGGAUGGAUGAAGUCUACCGAAAGAUAAACCAACUGGAAGUCCAAAACUAUUCUUUGCUUAACACCAGUGAUCACUUCAGCAGGGAGAUGCACCAGCAAUUCUACCCGGUGGCCUGCUUGGAAGACUGCAAAGCCACUCUGGAAAAGGAUCCAGUCAAGUCUGGAAGAAAAGGGACUUUUAAAGCAUUAGAGAAGAGCUGAACAUUUUGAUGGCAAAAUGUUGUUAUAAGAUCAAUCACAACAGUGCAAGUAAAAGAAAAGCAAUAUGUA